rfam:Drosophila grimshawi strain TSC#15287-2541.00 scaffold_15245 genomic scaffold, whole genome shotgun sequence.
UAUUCUUUGUGAUGAGCAAUAAACUUUCGCCCCUAGCUGAACACAUAAGUGAAACUUCUCAUGUUGAAUGCGAGAUUGGUCUUACUGAUAAUAUGA